rnacentral:rRNA from 1 species
GACGAACCGUGCGAACGUUAUUCGGAAUCACUGGGCUUAAAGCGCGUGUAGGCGGGAGGGCACGUCGGCCGCUGAAAUCCCCCGGCUCAACCGGGGAAGGGCGCCGAUACGACCUUCCUGGAGGGACGUAGGGGGACCUGGAACUUCCGGUGUAGCGGUGAAAUGCGUAGAUAUCGGAAGGAACACCAGUGGCGAAAGCGGCUUCCUGGUCCGACACCGACGUUCAGGCACGAAAGCGUGGGGAGCAAACAGG